rnacentral:rRNA from 1 species
UACGGAGGGGGCUAGCGUUGUUCGGAUUUACUGGGCGUAAAGCGCACGUAGGCGGUCUAUAAAGUUGGGGGGUGAAAAUCCCGGAGCUCAACUCCGGAACUGCCUCCAAAAACUGCUAGACUCGAGUUCGGAAGAGGUAAGUAGAAUUCCCAGUGUAGAGGUGAAAUUCGUAGAUAUUGGGAAGAAUACCAGUGGCGAAGGCGGCUUACUGGUCCGAUACUGACGCUGAGGUGCGAAAGCGUGGGGAGCAAACAGGAUUAGAUACCCCGCGUAGUCC